UACGUAGGGUGCAAGCGUUUGUCCGGAAUUAUUGGGCGUAAAGAGCUCGUAGGCGGUUUGUCGCGUCGAAUGUGAAAACCCGGGCUCAACCCCGGGCCUGCAUUCGAUACGGGCAGACUAGAGUUCGGUAGGGGAGUCUGGAAUUCCUGGUGUAGCGGUGAAAUGCGCAGAUAUCAGGAGGAACACCGGUGGCGAAGGCGGGUCUCUGGGCCGAUAUUGACGCUGAGGGCGAAAGCGUGGGAGCAACAGGAGUUAGAA
rnacentral:rRNA from 1 species